CAUGCUAUAAAACUACUUUACCUUUUCAGAAUGAAGAUAGUAGAAGUAUAGUUGCAUGAAAAGAGUUAUCCAGAUUUUUGCAGGUAAGAUGCAACGGAACUAAGAGGAUAUAAAAUAUCACAGGGCAGCAUGGUGUUCACUCAUCCUUUCUGCCCAGAAGGAACGGAGAAAAUACUGGAAAACAACAUGAGGAAUUUGUCAAGUAAUAUGUGCAUCUCUCCCUUUCUGAUACAUUCAGACUUUCAUCAUUGUUU